GGUUGCGAUCAUACCAGCACUAAUGCACCGGAUCCCAUCAGAACUCCGCAGUUAAGCGUGCUUGGGCGAGAGUAGUACUAGGAUGGGUGACCCCCUGGGAAGUCCUCGUGUUGCAACCGCC
rnacentral:rRNA from 1 species